GGUUUCCUUCCGGUUGAUGAGGUAAAUGUACCUCAUCAAUCGGAGGGGUUUCCUUCCGGUUGAUGAGGUACAUGUACCUCGUUGACCGGAAGGAAACC
rnacentral:miRNA from 1 species